AAAGGGAGACCUAAUUCAGGUAGGAGACGAAAAAAAAGUAGUCCCUACCAAGAAUCAAUCCCAAAAGGUCGGAGCGAGGCAAAAUUGGCUUUCAAACUAGGUUCUGGGUUCACGCAAGACCUGAAUCAGGAACAAGGGCUAUUAGCUCAGGUGGUUAGAGCGCACCCCUGAUAAGGGUGAGGUCCCUGGUUCGAGUCCAGGAUGGCCCACCUGUACAGGUGGCAAAAACAAAGAAAAGAAGCUCCGAAUCAGCACCUUAUCUUACUUAUAUAGUAAGAGAGAAUGCUGGCUCUGAGUACAGAGUCCAGAGGAACCUUGAAAACUGCAUAGAGCUAGGUGAAAAAGCCAAAAAAGAAGACCGCAAG
rnacentral:tRNA from 1 species